CCUACGGGUGGCAGCAGUGAGGAAUAUUGGUCAAUGGGCGGGAGCCUGAACCAGCCAAGCCGCGUGAGGGAAGAAGGUACAGCGUAUCGUAAACCUCUUUUGUCAGGGAACAAAGGCGGGGACUAGUCCCCGGAUGAGGGUACCUGAAGAAAAAGCAUCGGCUAACUCCGUGCCAGCAGCCGCGGUAAUACGGAGGAUGCGAGCGUUAACCGGAUUUAUUGGGUUUAAAGGGUGCGCAGGCGGCCUGUUAAGUCAGCGGUAAAAGCACGGGGCACAACCCCGGCGAGCCGUUGAAACUGGGGGGCUUGAGUAUGUGUGAGGUAGGCGGAAUGCGUGGUGUAGCGGUGAAAUGCUUAGAUAGCACGCAGAACCCCGAUUGCGAAGGCAGCCUGCCAAGCCAUGACUGACGCUGAUGCACGAAAGCGUGGGGAUCAAACAGGAUUAGAUACCCUUGUAGUC
rnacentral:rRNA from 1 species